CUCAGAUGGGACUGGGAGCAAAGGAGCGUCUCUGAAUGGCGGAGCAGUUGCAGCGUCCCACUUGGCAAGGGUCCUUGAAUUACCUCCGCCCCAGCCCUGACCCGGCCUAAACAUCAAACUUGAAAACUCAUCUUUCAGCAGCAGCGCUGGAGGAGGGACCAGGCAUCUCCGCUAUGGACCCGGGGGACUUUGAUCGCAGCAGAAGGAGAAUUUCCCGGGGGUUCCAGGGACUCCCAGGUAGAGGGGAGCUUUGGUUCUCACCUCGUCCCGCGAGCGGCUUUCCCGGGGACCGCAGGAGCACGGACGUCCAGGAGACCAGCCCGCUGCUGGAGGACCUCAGACGACGGCUGACGCGCGCCUUCCAGUGGGCGAUGCAGCGCAGGGCCUCGAGGCGCGCGCAGGAGGCGGCGGCGGCGCUGGAGGAGCAGAGCCGGGAGCGCGUGGAGGUCGCCCUGGCAGGGCUGCGGGCGGAGCUGGUGAGAGCGCGGGCUGGGCGGACGGCUCCCAGGGCGCCCUCUCCCGGGUCCUCUCCUCCGGCCGCGGAGCCACUGGCCGCGUAGCCCACCCAAGGCCUUGGGGAGGCCGACGGGAGCUGUUCCCAGAGCGGGAGCGCCCGCCACGGCGGCUGUUCUUCCCGGGGAGCCCAGCUCACGUCUGGUCACUGCAUUGACGCCCCCGCCUUUCCAGCACCGUAGGGAAGGAAAGGGGCCCUGCAGGACCCAUGGGGGUGGGGGGGACCCUAGUCUACCAGGGACAGAUCCAAGAUGUCUCCUCCCCAACCCGUUUCUAUAGUUUUCUGCCCUGUGGGAAACUAUGACUAUGCGUGGAAAUGCAUUUCCAAAACCACCAGCUGGCUAGAACUUUACUGGACCUAAACAUGAAGGUGCAGCAAUUAAAGAAGGAGUGUGAACUGGGAUUUACAUCAGACUCUCAAAGCCCAAAAGAUAAUGCUGCGAAUUCAGAAUAAAGAAAGGCACACAUGAAGAUAUGAACCCUAAAACUAACACAUCAACCCUGAAACAAUUCUGAUGAACACAUUAUGCUUUUCAUAAGUUUUGAGGGGCAAGUUGUAGACCCAAAACUUAGAUGACAGGGGAAGGUGAUGCAAAAACAUCUAAGAAAGGGGAGAGAAAAAUGAUGUAUUACCAAGUUUUAAAGUUACUUAUUUGUUGUUUUGACUGGGACAUAGAAGUGAAAUAUAAAUGUAAAUCUCUCCCUCAAAGAAUAAAGGCCAACUUCUGGUAUUCUACCUUGUGUGACCUGACGCUUCUGGCAUUGCCUGAGCUUUCAGAGUUCGUGCUUGUUUUGUUUAACUUGAUUAUUCUUGGUUUGUCUGUCCAGCAGCCUGCCCUCCUUUUUGUGAAUUAUUUCUACUUGGAUUCCAGCCAUGCCCUUUAGGUGGUCUGUCAUUAGGGGUACUCCACCGUCCUGGAUAUAGCCAUGCAGCUCAAGGCAGCAGAUGCGUUUGUCCUUAGGAUUUUUUGAAUGGGCACUGAAACAGCAGAUAAGUAUUUCUGCCGGUAGAAGCUGUGGGUAAGGGUCUUGGAAGCUGCUGGUGGUCACCAUGUGAGAAAGCCCACACCCUAAGGGAGAUGAUUGAAACAGAACCACUAAAAGUACAAAAAAAGGAAGGGGGGGUACUUCCUUGUUCCUGGGGUCAAGCUGUAUAAGACCCCAGGCCCUGCUCUUGGGUAUAUACAUCAGAUAUUCUGAUAUCCUUCUCAUAAAAUCUCUUUUUGCCUAAGCAAAUUCAAGUUGGAGUUUCAUGACUUGUAUCUAGUGUUCAUAACUAAUACAGUUGUUCAGUUUUAGGAGUUAAAAUAGUUCUUACUGUUGAAUUCGACUAUCUAUACCCCAAAAGUGCCGUCUUUUAAAUGCAAACAAUAAAAUUAAUAAAAAAUAGUUGCAGAUCUAA